GUGCUUACUUCAGCAGUUCGUUUACUCAAAUUGGAACAAUGUACAGCAUAUUAACGUGGCCCCUGCACAGGGAUGACAUGCAAAUUCGUGAAGCAUUCCAUUCGAAA